rnacentral:rRNA from 3 species
UACGUAGGUGGCAAGCGUUGUCCGGAAUUACUGGGUGUAAAGGGAGCGCAGGCGGGUGAUCAAGUCAGCUGUGAAAACUACGGGCUUAACCCGUAGACUGCAGUUGAAACUGUUCAUCUUGAGUGAAGUAGAGGUUGGCGGAAUUCCGAGUGUAGCGGUGAAAUGCGUAGAUAUUCGGAGGAACACCGGUGGCGAAGGCGGCCAACUGGGCUUUAACUGACGCUGAGGCUCGAAAGUGUGGGGAGCAAACAGG